GACGAGCGCUGGCGGCGUGCUUAACACAUGCAAGUCGAACGGAAAGGCCCUGCUUUUGUGGGGUGCUCGAGUGGCGAACGGGUGAGUAACACGUGAGUAACCUGCCCUUGACUUUGGGAUAACUUCAGGAAACUGGGGCUAAUACCGGAUAGGAGCUCCUGCUGCAUGGUGGGGGUUGGAUAGUUUCGGCGGUUGGGGAUGGACUCGCGGCUUAUCAGCUUGUUGGUGGGGUAGUGGCUUACCAAGGCUUUGACGGGUAGCCGGCCUGAGAGGGUGACCGGCGACAUUGGGACUGAGAUACGGCCCAGACUCCUACGGGAGGCAGCAGUGGGGAAUAUUGCACAAUGGGCGGAAGCCUGAUGCAGCAACGCCGCGUGCGGGAUGACGGCCUUCGGGUUGUAAAAAGAUUUAGAAUGUGACGAAGCGUGAGUGACGGUAAUGGGUAAAGAAGCACCGGCUAACUACGUG
rnacentral:rRNA from 1 species